GGUCCAGUUGUUAGUCCAAUUACAGAUGGAGAUUAUAGAAGAGGAUGAUGUCUUUUCUCCAACAUCUUUCUAGACUGAUAAAAGAUCUAGACAGGCUCAAACAAAAGUUAACAGACAGAGGGGCUUAUAUAGAGAAUGGUGAGCAGCUACACAUAAAAGAAGAACAUGGAGAAUCUGCCCAGAGGUGUUAACCAGCAAUGCAGCUAUACAACUAAAUUGAUGCAGGCGGAAACAAUGUGUAAUGCAGCUGCUGCAGAUGAAGAAUCCGUCCGUCUACCACUGAAGGAGACGCGGAAAAUUCCAUCCAAGAUGUUCUUUGCCAGAGGAAGC